CUCUAGUGAGGGCUUCCUUUUUGCAUCACUGGUAAGAUAGCAAGCAGGCUAGCUCUGGUCUCCUUAAAAAGCUACUAAUGUCAUCGUGGGGGUUCUAUCCUCAUGAUUCCAUCUGAUCCUAAUUACCUCCGGAUACCAAUUCCGUUUCCAAUACAUGAACUUUGGGGGAGCUCAUUCAAAUCACAGCAAUAUGGUUGUUAAGGUUAUAAGGAUGCUAGACAUUCCCUUUGUCAUUUCUUGUUGACAUCUACCAUUCUUGGACAACCAGGGGUGGAUUUCUACCAAGGGAAGUCUGCUGGCUUCUUGGGAACUUCCAGGGCCUUUGACUGCCACUCUUCUUCAUCCUUGGAAUUCUCUUGGGCGUGACCUACUGUAGAGCAUGGCACCUCUCUCCCACCUCUUCCUCAUCUGUUCACUCUACACCUUCAGUGCUUUGUCUGUUGAUGGCACUCCCUCUCCCAGAGGCCAUCCAGCCACACCACUGUGCUUCUCCGUUCAGAGCAAUGGGUGCUUCCAGUAGGCCAAGAACAGAUACAGCAAGCGCUGCAGCCCACACAGCUGGCUAGCGACACGUCUCACUGCCCUGUAUGUGCUCUUUCCAUGAGACAGGUGAAAACUUGAGACGAGCUUUCGUGGGUACCCUCUGAGUGCUUUCGUAUUUCUAACAACUUUCCAGAGCUCUGGAACUCUCAUUGAGUCCGCAGAGGAACGUAAGAGUUUCCAGUUGGCUUGGGGGUGGUGUUCUCAACAUUCUGGCAUGAAGCAAAUCCUCAAAAGCCGAAUGUGACACCAGAUUACUUCUCUCCCACUUGCCCAGCAAUAACUACAGCAAAAAUGCCAUUGGCUGUGGGUGUGAAGGUUCAAAGGGGGAGGAUAAGUCCAGUGUCCAUGGCACCAACACAUUUGCAGGGCCUA
rnacentral:lncRNA from 1 species